CACCCCAACCACCUCCGCACACCCCGCACCGGUCGCUGUUCCUCCCGCCCCAACUUCGCGAUCCGUCCGCCGUUCUUCUCGUUCCCCUGUGUGCCCUGCCCCUGGAUUGAAGAUGACGCCACCGUUCCGCAAGAGUCGAGAUCGAUCUGUCCUCCCAUCGUCGUCGAUCCUCCUCCGGCCUGCCUUCCGAUAUCAGGAGGCACUGCAUCGCCAUCUACCCAUGCUGCAGAAGGAGCGAAGGGAAGGCAACGCAAAGCAACCUCUCUGUGUGGCUUGGAGGAAGAGCUCCCGAGGCUUCAAGGGGCACGCAGGGAUAAGGUUCGUGCGGGGGCAGAGCUGGCCAGGCAUCGAUCGGUUCCUGAUUUUCUUUUCAACUUCUCGAAUAAUUUCUUCUACCUAAUUGUGAUGCUAGCUCCUUCAUCCUACCAUAGCUCUGUAGCCUGAAUUGAUGUUAUAGCUUUGGGAAAAAUGGUAGACACUAUCUGAAACUAUCAUUUGCACUAUUGUUGACAUGCUAUCAUGCCCUCUUCUACCCCUCUUCGUUGUUUCUUGAGGUUUAGAACAGUUAGAAUGCAAUUAGGCAGUAGAGAGCUUCAGAGAUCUUCUCUACUUGUUAGGUGGUUCUUCAGUGAAUCUGGAUGAACUAGUGGCCUCCACGAGGAAACCAGUAAAGAACACAAGUUUAGAAAAUACUCAAAGAUUUUGCCAAAGAUCUUUCAGGCAGAUAUAUGAAAAGUUGAUCAACACUCGUAAAAAGACCGUUAGCUAGUUGAUUUCGUGCUCAUCACCCAGACCAGAUAUUGUCAUUGUCAAUGUUAGAGGAAGGAUCCUGAUGCUUUUAUGCGAUUCAUGAUUCUCUUUAUUUCCUCCUUUUUAAAGGUUGAAAUUUGUAGUGACAUCUCUAUGUCGCAGGAGGAUUUUGUUUAUCUUCAUUGGAUCGAUUUGAUCUCCCUUCAAUUGCACUUGUGAAAAAUUUCUCCUUUUUUCCAGCUCAAGACCUUCUUGUAGUUACUGAUGAGCUGGACAGUUGGGUCGCCGGCGAUGAGCGCCUACUAGAUGUCCUUGUGCACUGCUGCAGUUAUGUUGCGGGUGUGUGCUUUGCCAACACAUGGAGCCCUGGAGUCACUGCUAGCUACAUGAUUUCUUUGCGUCCUCACGAUUUCAGCCAGAUUUGUGCUCUACUGCUUCAUCGUUCCAUUGUACUUCUCUGUGCUUUUUGUUUGUUGCUCUGCUAGCAUUGUCUGAAUGUGCUUGUGUGCUGCAGGAUUGAUACUGCUUAUUUAUUUAUAGCGGAUGCACUCAGUAGUCAGUAUGCACGCGUACAUGGUUGAGCUAAAUUAGGUGUUAUGUGACUUUGUUUUAUUGUUGCUUAGCUUAGUGUUAUAUUCUCGAUCAAUUCCAUGGCGCUGCUGGGAGAUGGGGCACCAGCAUAAGAUAAAAGCAAGAUGUGAUGGAUUCUAACAUGAAAAUGCAUUAUUUUUUUUGUUGAUGUGUGCCAUAGUUGAGCUGUCUGAUACCUUGUUUUUCAUGUUGUGGUGAUGGAAACAGAUGUUUGAUUCUUGCUGCAUUAUGGGUUGAGAUUGUGUCCUUUUAGUUCUCUAUCAUAAACAGCUUUCGCACUAGCUAAAACUUCGAUGUUAGGGGCGUUUAUUUUCGCAAAAUAUUAUUUCGAUUUUAGAUAUAGUAGAUAAUGUGUAGGAUUAAUUGAUAAUUGCUUUCAUGUUUGGUAAUCAUAGAUCAUUUUUUAGUUAACAAAAAUACUGCAACUUGGCGCCUGAAAUCUGAUUUUUCUGUGAAUAUGUAUUAUGUACAUAUAUACUGAUUAGCAUUUCCACAAUUUUCAAUAUAUGUUGCCACCAUGUACCAUUGCAUAAUGUAUCAUGUGAAUUUUUUCAAUAUAUGUUGCCACCAUGUACCAUAUCCACAAUUUUCAAUAUAUGUUCACAUCUCUUUUUGUUCACAGACUACCUUUGUUGGCCGUGGGUACCAUUGCAUAAUGUAUCAUGUGAAUUUUUUGGUGUCUAUGGUUGGGUUGAGUAUUAUUUACCACCUGAAUUAAAGAAUGCUUUUUAGUAGUUGCAAUUUCACCAUAUAGACUCUUAAAGGAGUUCUGGUCGAAGUAACUUUGUAUUUCAGCCUUAGCACCAUUGAACUAUCUUUUCAUUGACAGUAUUGCCAUUUUCUUUUCAUGUCACAGACAUUCGAAUGUACCACCAGCCGGUAUGCCAAUGAUCAGCUCACACUGGGCAUCAUCUUCCAUAACCUGAAUGAAUGCCUCACUGAUGCCUCCGGUGCUGAGAUGCCAUAGGCUGUUUCCCCUCUCCCUCGAUCCUGCAACCUGGACUCCUACAUGAAAGUUAAGCCUUGGAAUUUGAUUUGUGCAUCGAGUUGUCGAUUGAGGGAGGAAGGUAGUAAAUUCCUGAUCCUUUUGAGUGAGGGAGGGAGCUACCUUGUCAUCGACUUGUUGGCGGAGGGAUAUGUGAUGUUUUUUUCAUCCAAGAUAUGCACAUGUUCAGAUAUGUGCAAAAAAAGUGUACUCUGUUUUGUAUCAUUCAUCUCAUGGACUAGAUAACUAUCUGGCAAUGCCAACCAUGAUCGUGGAAUUGUAAGCUCUAUGGCUCAAAAUUAAUGUUGACGGUUCAAUUUCAGAGGCAUCUGGGGAAGCAGAAAUCGGAAUUGUCAUCCGUGACCUUCUGGUCAGUGUCAAGCUAACAGCAUGGCAAACAAUGUUCGACGUUUCGAAUGCCGAGGAGAUGGAAGCUUUGGCAUGUAAAGAGGGCAUUGGCCUGGCUGCUGAAUGGUUCCAGGAGCCAGUUAUGGAACCAGACUGCACGGUUGCCGUCCAAUAUUUGAAGGAGGUGAAGGUCUUGAAGCCUGUAUGUCUCUCCAUCAUUCAGGAGGCUUCUCAUGCGACUAGUAGAUUGCCAGGUUUUGAGUUGAAUCAUGUAAAGAGAUAGGAAUUCAGUAGCUGAUGAUCUUGCACAAAUGGCGAAGUGUCUGAACCACAGUGCUGUGUGGUGAGGCUGUUAUCCUGCCUGUACUAAGCAGCUGAUUGUGCUAAAAAAAAGCAGCUGAUUGCUCUUGAUUGUAACAUUUCCAUGAGUAAUCAAUAAAAUCUCGAGUAUGUUUUAUGGUUCCC